UGGGGAGGCCAGAGACAUCAGAAGUGCAGGGACUCCGUGCCCACGGGCAAGAAUCUGACCGACAGGGACAGGAGAAAGCAGAAACCUGCAGAGAGUUCACGCUCACCCACCACCCUGCCACCUGGUCAUGAGACCUUUCUGAGCUGCACCCAGUCCCCACGGCCUUGCGGCGAUGCCUGGGGAAGCGAGCCGCACAGGAGCUUGCUGCAAAUGUGGCUUCGGCUCGAGUCACCUUCCUGUACGUUUUCCUUCUCUCUCUUCCUCACUGCCCUUUGUCUGCUCUUGUUUCCUCCACAUUGAACUUCCCAGUUAAAUGUUAAAUAGAAGCUUCUGACUCAAGAAUGAAAAAAAAAAAAAAAAUUCCCUGUUAGGGAACUUGGGCCAGGAUAGGGCUCCACAAAUACGUGCUGGGUCCACGGGGGCAUUAGAGGGCUUGAACUCCGGCUCCACCACGCAGGGAACGACUGAAGACUGAACACUUCCCUGGAAAAAGUCAGACAUUUACAAACCGUCUGCUUGGAAAGGUCGACAUGGGGGUUGUGUCCGUGGCUCAGACCCGCGCAAGAGGCACCUCAUCUCCUAAGGGAAGGGGAGAGACAGGAGAGAGACGAAGGCAGAGGAGGAACUGGAAACAUGCUCACAUUUGAGAAGCAGGAGAAAGAAAAAGAUCCCAGCCGCAGGCCUGCAGAGGCAGACGCCACUGGUGUUCAUUCAGCCCCCCCCCACGUCAGGCCACCUGCAGAUAACGUGUGGCCAGGGGUUACGGUUGAGCUGGUAGACAGAACUGACAACCAGACAGAGUUCCCGCCUUAUGGAGCUUGAGUUGAAUAGACGUGGGGGAGAUGUCCUGCUGGUCCUUUCGCCUCCUUCAGAUCUGCUGUGUCAGCGAGCUCGGCCACCCUCCUUGUGUCUGUGGGACACAAAGAAUGACCCUGAGGUCCUAGGGCUGUGGGAACCACGAGACAGAAGGGAUCCCCAUUCUUGAGUUGUGCGACUCGUCCCUCGGACGGUUCACGUGAGAGAGACACUUUUACUGUGUCGAGGCACUGCGAUUCGGGGUUUAUCUGUUACAGUAGUUGGUGCUGCGUCAUAACCUGGCGAGUGUUGGAAAAGCAAGAGGUGGAUGGUGAAGCUGAGGAGCAGAAGCAUGUUCUGGUCCCGAGGCCCGGCCUUGUGUGUCCUUCACACACCCCAGACAGGAAGAGGCUGUCUGGAGCGUCUUGGGAUCAGCAACCGGAGCGUCUUGGGAUCAGCAACCGUGGACUUGUUGGUAGCAAAUGCGUUUUUAUUUUAAAAGAUGAAGGAACUGAGGUGCGGAGCUCCCACAACUGGUAUCGAGAAGCCAGCCCAGGCCUGUACGACUCCGGAGCCUGCAAUUCUGACUGCUCUAGUAUAUUCCUUUGAUAGUUUAUUUGGAUCAGGCUGUUCUGAAUUAACUCUGGAAGUAAUAAUUUAGUAAAAAAAAAAAAAAAAUGAACAAAACCAAAAAAGUGUGUGUGUAUAUCUGUGAAGCCGGGAUCACCAUGACUUCAUACUUUAAAUAUGAAGGGGGAGGGGAGCUAACAUGAUGAGCUAAGUCCUUCCAUCCAGGAAAACCCAUAGCUCUGGGAGG
rnacentral:lncRNA from 1 species